rnacentral:rRNA from 1 species
UACGAAGGGGGCGAGCGUUGUUCGGAUUUACUGGGCGUAAAGGGCGCGUAGGCGGCUUAGUAAGUCGGGUGUGAAACCUCCAGGCUCAACCUGGAGACGCCACCCGAUACUGCUGUGGCUAGAGUCCGGUAGGGGAGCGUGGAAUUCCUGGUGUAGCGGUGAAAUGCGCAGAUAUCAGGAGGAACACCAGCGGCGAAGGCGGCGCUCUGGGCCGGUACUGACGCUGAGGAGCGAAAGCGUGGGGAGCGAACAGG